GACGUAGGGCGCGAGCGUUAUCCGGAAUUAUUGGGCGUAAAGAGCUCGUAGGCGGUUUGUCGCGUCUGCCGUGAAAGUCCGGGGCUCAACUCCGGAUCUGCGGUGGGUACGGGCAGACUAGAGUGAUGUAGGGGAGACUGGAAUUCCUGGUGUAGCGGUGAAAUGCGUAGAUAUCAAGAGGAACACCUGAGGUGAAGACGGGUUGCUGGGCCGACACUGACGCUGAGUGCGCGAAAGCCAGGGGAGCAAACGGG
rnacentral:rRNA from 1 species